GCCUGGGUGGCUCAGUCGGUUGGGCGUCUGACUUCGGCUCAGGUCAUGAUCUCACGGUUCAUGGGUUCAAGCCCCACGUCGGGCU
rnacentral:tRNA from 1 species